GCAGCACCACAGAAGAAAGACUAAAUAAAGCCUUGGUUUUCACCCUCGGAUCAAGUGUAGACCUCCUUCCUUUGCCAUCGACGGGAUCUCGCUCCCUCAUGCUAAGGGAAAGGUUCUCAGCCGCCUCCUGGGGUUUAGGACCCUGAGGAAACUCCUUCUAACUGCGGUUUGUCUCUCAAGCUAGCCAGGGUGAGAACAGAGCCAGGAGCUCCGUGAGAGAGAUCUACUGAUUGGACAGUAAUUACAGUGGACCUGCAAAACAUUUCACAGGACAUGAAGGUUAACCACAUGGAACCGAACAGAAGAUAAAGUUCAAAGGAUGCCACCUUGGAAGUAGCUGGGUCUACGAAUAACUGCAAGGACCAUUGUUCCGCAGAAAUUGGAAAUUGAGUGUAAUCCCAAAACCCUAGCAGAUCUCCACUCCUUGUGUGGGUCUUUGAAUUGGGUAAGACCUUGGCUAGGCCUCACAAAUGAAGAUUUAGACCCUCUCUUCAAUUUAUUGAAGGGGGAGAGGGAGCUGGUUUCUCCCAGGGAACUGACCCAGAGGCAAAGACAGCAGUCGAAAAGGUACAGAAGGCCUUAUCAGAGAGGCAGGCUCAUCAAUGUGAGCCAAACAUACCUUUCCAAUUCAUUGUUGUAGGAAAACUGCCACAUUUGCAUGGUUUGAUUUUUCAAUGGAUCGAGGGCAGAGAGAUUCACUCUUGAUCAUAGAGUAGGUCUUCCUCUCUCACCAAAGAUCCAAGACCAUCACUGAGCCACAAGAGUUGAUAGCUCAACUGAUUCGGAAGGCAAGAGUGGUAUUUGUGUGAGCUGGCUGGUUGUGACUUUAUAUGUAUUCACCUUCCAGUCACACUUUCUAAGGAGGGAAGGAACUCUCCCAAGAGAUUGACCAAAGAGAUGUUUGAGCAUUUGCUCCAGAGCAAUGCCAGUCUCCAAUUGUCUCUGGACAGCUACAGGGGACAAAUAUCAGUCCAUGCCCCGUCUCACAAGUUGCUCAAUGAGGAAUUCCACCUCAUUCCUCAUGAGAAGAGGAGUCGGAGACCACUCAAGGCUCUCACAGUGUUCACAGACGCGUCCGGGGCUUCCCACAAGUUGGUGAUAACUUGGAGAAAUCCUCAGACUCAACGUUGGGAAGCUGAUGUUGUAUUUGUGGAGGGAUCCCCCAAGUGGCUGAACUAGCCGCAGUGGUAAGAGCCUUUGAGAAGUUCUCGGAACCAACUAAUUUGGUAACAGACUCUGCUUACGUGGCAGGGGUAGUGUCCAGAGCGGGGCAGGCUGUGCUCAAAGAAAUUGACAAUUAACAUCUCUUCAGAUUGCUUUCAAAGCUAAUUUAUUUAAUUUCUCAUCGAGAACAUCUGUUCUAUGUGAUGCAUGUAAGAUCACACACUGAUUUGCCAGGUGAAAUUGCAGAGGGGAAUCGUCAGGCAGAUUCCCUUGCUGCACCUGUUGAAAAUGCACGUCUUCCUGAUAUCUUCCAACAGGCAAAGCUGAGUCACCAACAAUACCAUCAGAAUGUGCCAGGCCUGAUCCAUCAGUUCCAGCUAACAUGGAGUCAGGCUCAAGCCAUUGUGGCCACCUGUCCCAACUGCCAGGUCCAAGCGAUGCCAUCGAUAGGUAUAGGAGUUAACCCCCGGGGCCUUGGCAGUUGUGAGGUAUGGCAGACAGACAUCACGCACAUUCCUAGUUUUGGACACCUCAAAUAUGUUCAUGUAAGCAUUGACACACAUUCAGGCGCAGUGUACGCCUCUGCCGAUGCAGGGGAAAAGACUGAACAUGCCAAGAAACACCUAGUGCAAGCUUUUUCAGUGUUGGGGAUUCCAAAAGAAAUCAAAACUGAUAACGGCCCAGCGUAUGCGUCCAAGGAGUUCCUGGAGUUUUUCCAGCAGUGGGGAGUGGAACAUAAAACUGGCAUCCCUCACUCCCCCACAGGUCAAGCUGUGGUUGAGCGAGCACAUCAGAGCUCAAACAGGUCCUGGCUAGACAGAGCAGUACAACUGUGUGGAUGCCUCCACAUGAGAAACUCUGCAAAGCCAUGUUUACCAUCAGUUUUCUGAACUGUUCAUUUGAAAACAUGAAUCCACCAGUGGUACGCCAUUUUAACAGUGGCAAUCAGUUCAAAUUGUCUCAGCGUCCACCAGUCAUGAUUAGGGAUCCAGAAACUUGGGAAACCAAAUGUGCCUAUGAGCUCGUGACCUGGGGUCGUGGCCAUGCGUGCGUGGCCACUCCCUCAGGCCCUCGGUGGAUUCCCCAGAAGUGGGUGAAACCUUUUGUCCCUAAAAAUCCAGCUCCAGCAGAAGGGGAUAAGAGGCAAGUUGCCGUUGCCUCCAAAAGAAGACACCGCUGGUUGAAGGAAAAAGAAUCUUCCUAGAUGUGGACUCCUUCUGGCAGAAACAGAAACUUUUAACAUGUUUUUAAAAUGUUUGGUUUUCUUUUUAGAGAAAACCUACCUCACACUCAGCCCUGUGAUGAACCCCAUACAAGUUGUCAUCUUGUUAUUGCUGAACAGUCUGGCAGCUGCAUGGAUCAUCCCUCAGCCGCGUCAAAACAUCUGGGUGACCCUGGCACAGACAUUUCAGCAGGAAAACAUAUAUUUGUCCACUGCAUCAACAGAUAAUCCUAUGUCCACCUGUCUGGUAGGAAUUCCAUUACAGGCUGGAGAAUUUCCAGCAGGAUUAGACACACAUAGGUCCAACAAAAUUCCAGAGCCAAACACCUUCCGACCAUACAAGGGUCAUCAGCAGAAAUCUGGGAUGACCGUGAACCCCUUAGAGGAGUGGUUGCCAAGUUUGCUGAAGGUAUCUCAGGAACCCCAAGAAUUAGAGUUAUUGGGUUCCUCCCCUGCAUCAUACUGCAUACAUUUUUCUGUCUACCCAAAACCUUCUAACGUCAAUGAGUACCGCAAUAUAAAACAGUAUCGUGAGGAGUUUUCUGCAAAAAGAUGGUGUCAUCAGGUAAGCCAUAUUGAGGCAGACAACCCAUCUCACUCAAGACUCAGAAGCCUCCCUAAGGGAUUGUUCUUGAUUUGUGGGGAUCGGGCACGGGCAGGAAUUCCGUCUUGGCUUUUAGGAGGGCCAUGUACCAUAGGGCAGUUGUCCGUAUUGACACCCAACCAAACUUUACUUGGUGAAUGGACUCACAAAAACAAAUCGGCAAACAAAAUUCAAAGGAGGAGUGCUGACCUAUUGGAUCCAAAUUGUAAUUCAGAAAUUUUUUCAUUGGGCCAAGUCAAAAAGAGUUGCUGUGUCCCUGUUCCUUCCGUGGGUUGCAGCAGCCAAAGCUCUAAGUGAAUUGGGCCAUCUAGAGUGCUGGCUAGUCAAAUAGGCAAAUUUAAUGUCCACCGCCAUCAGCUCUCUCCUAGAAGAUGAGGAAAUUACCAGACAGGCCACUCUCCAGAACUGUGCUGCUAUAGAUUAUCUCUUGUUACUUCAUGGACAUGAAUGCCAGGAAUUUGAAGGACUAUGUUGCCUAAACUUGACCUCGAAAGCUCCAAACAUCCAUGCUGCCCUUCAAAGCAUGAACAGCUUGAUUGGACAAGUGAAGCAAGAAUCUGAGGAUUGGAUCAAAGAACUGUUUAAAGGCUGGGGACUUACAGGAUGGUGGACUUCUAUAGUUAAAACCAUUUUGUUAUUUCUUGUUAUUCUUUUCCUUGUAACAAUAGCGUUCAGGAUCCUACUCUGAUUUUCAAAGCUAUCAAUAGUCUCAUACCUUCUACCUCAGAAGUCAACCACAUAGAGCUGGCAAACCUAAAGCAGGCUGAGUCCCCCACCAAUUGUAAUUGGUGGGAAAACCCACAUUCUGUGUAACCUAAUGUUCUUCUAAUUUUCUUAAAUAAAAAAGGGAGAGAUGUUGUGUUCCUCUGAGGAAUGGUUUUUCCCCUCAGAGUCCCCCUGAAGCCUGUGCCAUGUAGUUUAACCCUUCUUCCCUAUCUUACCUAUGCCUCACCCUAUUGGCUCAGGGCCAAUAUCUUUCCUUGGCCCAAAACCUAGAUAAACCCCCAUCUCUUCCUGUUUGCUCUCUCUCCUUGCACUCCUGGAACAUCAUUUUGAGAGUAAAGCUUGGACUGGAGCUGGGGUGAGAGCCACUCUUUUGAAAUCUUUAUUCUGUCUCUAUGAAAUAUAUUUCCCUAAAAUCCCUGAACAACUGAGCUAGCUAGAGCCUGGGGGGUGGCUAGAGGGAGUAUAUUUCAACUCUCAUCUAUCUUGGCACAGCUUUUCAGUAGUGCAGAUCCCAACCAUCUAAGAAUAACACUCCUCUUUCAGAUUGACACAUCAGAAAAAAAUGAAGUUUUUACUCAGGACAUUCUCUCUUUUUCUUCUGAAAAAGCAAUCCUAUCAGCAUAUUCUCAGCUGUACUUUAAGCAGGAAGCAACCAAUACUAAAAAUGGUUUGAUUUUUAAUUUUCAGUCCUAGGAUAAGUUGAAGCAAUUGAGGAGCAGAAAAAAAACCAACCACAAAACCCUAUUAUAUAUUGCUGCAGUUUUCAAAUGAUCAGUGCAGCACUGGGAUGAUCUGGCUAUCAGUAACCUAAGUUUCACUGCCAACUUUGGUUUAACACUUUUGCAUUAAAAUCCAAAUAAAAAACUGGUUUGAAUUAUUUAAAUCUUUUUUCUUAACCUGGAAUCAAGUAUAGGUUGUUGUUUUAUGGUACAGCCUAUAUGACUGAACUAGGUAUCUUCUGCUACAGAUGAACCUGAAGUGGAACAGAAAUGUGGAGGCCACAUUGUAAUUUCAAAUAUUUAUUCUUUAAAUUCUUUUUAUGCAGUCAGGAGCAUUGGGAGGAUUAUGAUGCUUGUGGAAGGAGGGUUUUUCCAUAUUUGUGUAUCUACUUGAGUUUGUUCUUUUUUAAACACAAUCCCCUUGCUCUUCAUUAAUUAACGUUUUCAUUUUACAUUCAAGUUUUUGCUACACACAUGGUGUUUUGUAUAUGCUGGAUAUCUGAUGUGUUUUCUCUGUCUGAUCCCUAAGACCAGUUUCACCUUUGUCAAAUAGUUACAAUAUUUUAAUGGCAAGUAAUUACUCAUUUGUGAUGAUGAUUAUAGUCUUGUGGCAUCUAUAUUUUUCUGUUCUUUUAUUUUGAAGAACUCUGUUAACAUCCUGUACUUAUACCUUUGGGAACUUUGUGUUAAGAUCUGAUUAGUGAGAGAUGCCUCUGCCGUGCAAACAAGGUCAUAUGCUGAAGUCAAUAAUACAGAUAUUAUUUAACAGAUAAAUUGAAAGAAAUAGAAAAGUUGUGGGAAGAGAGAGGGAGAGAGAUAUCAAGCAGAAGAUAGUCACCACCAUGGAUUCUGUGGCCUCCUGUUGGUCCUUCUUCACCCUGUGCUUGAUGUUCAAAAGUUUUCACUAGUUAUACAUUUUAGCAAAUAAAAUAAUUAAUGCUCAUUGGCUACAAAGUUCUCUUAUUCUACUGGUUAAAUGAUUCCCUCACUUCUAAGAUUACACUUGGACAAUAGUACCACCUUUUUCUUAUCUCAGGUUCCUAUUAAGGUAGCUCAAUUUACAAUCCACUACCAAGUGACAUGGCCUACAGAGAAGACUUGGAUCUUCUGUAGAAGACAAAAAAGAAACAGAGAAGUCUGAAAACCUGUCUUUGUUCUGCCAUUUAAUUAUUGUAGAAUGGAUCCAUCUCUCCAGCAACUGUCUAUGUCAUGUCAGCUUUCACCAGCUGAAUGUUUAUCUUCUAAGAAAAAAUUGCUUUUCAUUUACCUCCAAAGAUUUUUUCUACAUAAUCAUUUUCAUUUGGAUCAGGAACACAUUUUUAGGCUGCUCUCUUCAGUGCCACUAUUUAUUGUGCUUUGGUUUAUUCACAGAGUAGUCUUAGCAAGCAUAAAAACUAGUUUGUUGUCAUUGUUCUUCUUUAAUUAUAUUAAAUUGGAAAAUGCAUUUUAGAAACAUGUAUUCCUAUUGCUAAGGUACUUUCAGUCCAUGAACCAGACUAAACUGAAGCUGAAGUAAAUCCUGAUGAAGUAUAUAUCCUGCGGUUACCAUGUCCUUAGCAGCACUCUUCUCCACAGGUCUGCUGCUAUUGGGCCAUGCUAGCUGCUACUGGAGGCACAGACUGGGGUGUUUGUCAUGAGAAAUAGGAGUUUCCAAGUGAGUCUUUCAGCAGUCCUGAGAAACUCUAUUGUUCCUUUUGCACUGCAGGGUUCUUACUGCUUUCUCUCAUUCAAAGCCUCAGUCCAGGACCUUAUUAUAUUCAACCAUACUUAAUUACUGUCAGGGAGCAGGACAUCACUUUCUCACAUCAGCCCCACAGACAGUAGGCAGGAGUAAAUUUAUCCAAUUUCAGCAUUUUGAUGUGAAAUUUAAAAUGCUCAAAGUAAGAGAUAGUGAAUAACUAACACAAAAAAAUAAGAGAUAUUUUCUGACACAAGUGAAAUUCUUGCUGGAAAUAAAAAUGUGAACUUUACAAUUUGCUUGAUUAAAAUAUUGUAGAUAAUAUUGUAAUUGACUUAAAACUCCUAACCUCUCAUAAGAGUUUUGGAUGAGCUGGAUAUUUUGAGUCAAUUGUGAGUACCUGUCAUGCUGUGUAUAUUAUGCAUGUUUAUACACACAGAUACCCAAUUUUCAAAUUAUAUAUAUAAUUCUCCAUAGAAAACGAAACUACACACAAUAUAUGUGCUUGCAACUUAAUGCAGAACUCAUAAGUUACCAAAUAAUUAGUAUCAAACCCAUGAAAUUUCUUUCAAGCCUCUUGUGAAGCUUUUUGUGUUUAACAUAAUGCUUUGAUGUCCUCUGGUCUUUCUGUGCAAGGGGAAAAUGAACACGGAAUGUUCGGAAUGUUAUUAACAUCCUUUAAUACCUAUCCGUCUCUGUCCAUACAUUCCUUAUACAAAUAUUUAGAGAAGAAACUUGCAAAUGUUCAUUACUUCAAAAUGAAGUUUGUUUACAAUAUAACU